UGGAAGGAUCAAGGGUGAAGGUUUAUUUUCUUCUUAUCGUUGGUUAGAGUUUUUCUUUCGUUUUCUUCUGCUUUGAGUCAAUUCCAUUGUUUUUUAAGAAUUUAAAGUUAUGGGUGUGAUGAUCCUUUGUUAGGAACGUUUUGGCAAGACUGGAGACUGCUUAUCUGAGUCGGAAUCCCACUGCAAAAUCAUUUUGGAGCUUAUUCGAUCAGUUCAUGUUGAUACAAAUUUCUCUUGAUCGUAAUGCAUUUGGAACUUUUGGAAAACCUGCGGCUGGGAGCUGAUUGUUCUCGAUCAAGUCCAGUGCUGAACCCCCAAAUGGAUUGCAAGGAUCAAAGGAACGUUUUGGAAAACCUGGAGACUGCAAAUCUGAGACGAAAUUCUACUCAAAAUCCGUUUUGGAGCUUGUUCUAUCUGUUCAUGGUGAAUCAAGUCCGUUUUGUUCUGCUUGCACUUUCAUUUUGAAUUUUUGCAUAUUUUUUAUUCUUUUCGAUGUAUAUUGUUUUCUAAUGGGCAUUUAGUGUGCAAUGUCUUUCUUUUAAGUCAUUGGUUACUUUGUAAAGAGAAAAAAAAGUGAAUUAUGUCCUUGUUCUACUCUUUCUACAACAUUUACAUAAAAAAGCAAAAAAACUGCUAAAACAGGCAAAUCAAACUUCCUUAAGCAUUCAAUUGGCCAUUUAGUCUUUUGGGAUUUAA